AUGGCCUCACAAAGAUUGAUUUUACUGCUGCUGAAAACUGUCUGAAGAUGAGAAGCAGUUUCAGUAAGAACAACAGAGAGUAAACAAAGCUAAGAUAACAACAGUGAAUGCCACAAAUUCUGAAUAGAACAUAACAUGGAUAAACUGAUUUGUUCUACUUCAUUAAGUUACACUGAAGUUGGAGAAGUUUGCAGAACUUUGGCAUACAUAGAGGUCACAAUAGUAUAUGUUUUUAUCAAACUGAAUUCUAAUUGUUAGAAGGUAGGACAGUGAAUAAUGGCAAUACUGCAGAGUGGUUAGGAGAAUGUGAGCUUUGUGGUCAGUCAGAAAACUGCUUCAAAUCUCAACCGUGUCAUUUAGGAGUUGGGUGUGGGCAAGUUAUUUAACUUGAGUCUUACUUCUCACAUCUGUGUCUGUCAUAGGAUAAUUGUUUAUUAUCUGAAUAGUGAGAGUUGAAUAAAUUAUCCUCAAAAUUAAAUAAAAUGGAAGGAUUCAGUAUGAUGCCUGGAAGGCAUGCAUAUAUUAAGGUCUCAAUAAAUGCUAUUUGUUUUGAUUUAUUAUUAUUACAAUAAAAAAGUCACAGUGGAAAAAGCCAAAUUCUCAUUUUGAUUUAAAACUUUUCCAUAUUAUUAUUAUUAUCAUUUAAUGUUUUAGAGACAAGAUCUCCCUCUUUCACUCAGGCUUGGGUGCAGUCGUGAAAUCAUACAUAGCCCACUGCAACCUCGAACGCCUGAACUCAAGGGAUCCCACUGCUUAGCUGGGACUAAAGGUGUGUGCCACUGUGUUUGGCUAACUUUUUUUAUUCUUUGUAGAGAUGGGGGUCUUGCUGACAUCCAAGAUUUAUUUCAGUAUUUUUUAGUAAAUUAAUACUAUUAUGAGCUUAACAGAUGAAAGUUAUUCACCAUAAACUUUAAAGAACUGUGGAAAAAUUAUGUUUAAACAUUUUUAUAUUAUCUCAGCUCUGCUUCAUCCACUUCCCCAGUUAUUCAUCAGCUUUGAACACUUCUUCUAAAAGUUAAAUACUUGUCAGUCCUCUUAAUGGCCUCCAAGGAGAGAUAUGUCAAGAAUUUCAUUUGAAGCCUAUUUUGGUGUUUAAUCCUGCUGAGCCUAUGUCUCUACAAUUUAACAUUCAGUGGAAGCAAUAAAUGGUGAUCAUAUCAUCAAGAAAUUGGAUCCAUUCCUCAAAAACAUUCCAGUGAUCCAUUCCUUUCAUAUCCCUGCGAAAUGAUUUGUACUCAGAACAGUUGUGUGUGUGCACAAGCAUAUGCAGCACAUUAAGAAUGCCAAAUCUGAAUUUUUCAGUGGUCUGAAGUGGAAACUUCUCAUAGAGCAGCCAUAUGUUUUCUAGGAUUGCAUUAAUCUUACCUUUUAGGCAAACAAUAUAGUGCAUUUUGUCUAUGUUUUACCACAUACAACAAAUACUGAACCCUUUCUUAUUCCUGUAUCUAUGAAUGAAUAUGGAAAGACUUAUCUGAAAGGCAUAUCAAGGAUUUUUUUUUUUUAUUAGCUUACUUGGCCAGGCGUGGUGGCUCACUUCUGUAAUCCCAGCACUUUGGGAGGCUAAGGUGGGUGGAUCACUUGAGGUCAGGAGUUUGAAACUAGCCUGGCCAACAUGGCAAAACCCCGUCUCUACU
rnacentral:lncRNA from 10 species